rnacentral:rRNA from 1 species
CAUCUAAGCGUCGAAGCCCCCCUCAAGAUGAGAUUUCCCAUCGCGUCAAGCGAGUAAGAUCCCUUGAAGAUGACAAGGUAGAUAGGUCCGAGGUGGAAGCGUGGCGACACGUGCAGCUGACGGAUACUAAUCGAUCGAGGACUUAAC